AAAUUUUAAAUACUUAUUGUUAGAUAACAUAUAAAAAUAAAUAUGAAAUUGAAUAUUUGAAGUAUAUAUUCAUGUUUCAUAUAAUUACAUUGUAUAUUAGUUUGGACAUUCGGACCGGUUUCUUCGGAUAUCUUUUCGGAUUUUUUGUUUUUUUUUCGGGUUUUCGGGUUACCCGUUCGAGUUCGGUUAAUAACACUUUGGGUUCGGAUAUGUUUUGUACCACCUUACGAGAUCCAUUCGGGUAUUUUUUACAUUUCGGACCGGGUACGGAUCGGGUUUUUUGGUUCGGGUUCGGUUCGGAUUUCGGAUUAUGGAUUUUAUGCCCAGGCCUACUGACAAAGAUAACAAGACUUUAUUACAAAAACUUCUCGGUUCAUGGCAUUAUCAAGCACACAAACAAUUGAAAAUAUACACCCCCAAUAUAUAAAAAAGUAUACCACUGCCUAAACUUUUCAGUUUAUAGCAUAUCAAACUAGUUGCAGCAGAAACACAUGCCUAACUACCUCAAAAUUUUUGACUCUUCUAAUGUAACGUAAGCAUAAUCUAGCAGCCAUAGAAAACUCUGUAACUACCAAGGUUAAAUACACAGUGAGAAGAGUGUAAUACUUUGUGGAAAGGAAAAAAAAACAAAGCAAUAGAGCUCUAAACCAGCCCUAUAAUGAAAAUUUUGAGUUGGGAUCUUCCAAAAACAUGCAGCCACAAAGCUAAAUUCAAAGUUUUUACCAAUUAUAUACUGAGAAUAUAUAAGCCAAAGCAAAACCAACAUGCAUAAAGGGCAAUGAAACAAGUGGUAAUCAGAAAGUUGAGAUCAGCCAAUAGCUAUAUUCACAAGAAACAAUACAAUAAGUGGAAUCUUAUUAUAUAAAGAAGACUUUUCUCUCUUCCUCCUUGCGCUACGUCAUCAAAUAGGUGAACCACAGUUUGCCACGUGUCCUCCUCACACUACAAAAACUCAAUCUUCGUUUUGGUUGCGGAAGGGCUUUUACACAAGUGAGCUAUCUUAGUAUUGGGCCGGAAAAUCAUCAGAAACCUAGGCCCAUUAGGCGCCUUCGCUUUCUCGACGUGAAGCGGACUUUUGUUUCUAAGGUUCAUCGUCGUCUCAGAAAGCUGAUUAGGUAUAACAUUAAUGGAGAUUCUCAAAAUUUGAGAGAGACGAGUCUUCUUCAUUAAUCGCUGUGUCUAUCUCGGUUCGUGUUGUAUUGUUUCGUUUUCGAUUCAUCUCCUUACUGGCGUUACAAGUUCCAUUGAUUCAGUGUCAUUAAUGAGAUCUUAACUCUUCCGAGCCACUGCAACCACGACCAUUCAAUUAAUGAUUAUUAUACCUUUCCAAGCGGUGGGUCUCUACCUAUAAAAAGGUAAGACGUCAUCCCUUGAGAAUCAUCCUCACAACUCCAAUAACAUUUGAAGAUGACCAGCAUGGAGAUUGGCUUCUCCUCUUUCCUUCCCUCAACAGGUUAUAUCAGUCAGUGGAAAAUUCUGAGUCCAUGUAAUUAAAGCUACCGCAAACUACAAUGUUGAUGCUAGCGUAUUCAAUUGUUUGGAAGAGCCUCUUCUAUUCACUUAGUGAUCAUCUUUAAGGAUGUUUUAGCUUCUUUAGUUCUCUGUUUUAGUACUGCAGAUUUCUAGGCUUAUUGUGAUUACUGACAUUGUGUCUUUUUGGUCCAGACACAAUCCAUAACCAGGAUCGUAUUUAUAUCCCUUAUACCAAUACUUGAAAGGCUGUUAACUCAUCAUUCUACUAAACUCGUAUCAUCUAAAGAUCUCAACAUCAGAAGUAGAGAGCUUCCACAAGAACAAUAUAUAUGAUGAAGCAGAGGAUGCUGUAAGGAUUGAUUUAGCAGGCAGAUUUGCUAUACAAUAUUUCUCGACAGAGAAGCUACUUAAGGUGAAUAUACAUACCGGAGGAGAUUGAUACAGAGCUCGACUUGGUUCUUCCAUAUCAAAUAAAUUUUAUGUCUAGGCAGCUCUUCGGCAACGGUUUCCAACUUUUAAAGCAGGAAGGAUUUGAAAAUACAAAACUAAAAUUCAUUAGAAGCUUUGUGGUUUCGGAAAGCUCGAGGAGGCAGACAAGCUUUUGGCUAACGUUCUGAGGACAGCAUUGGGAUCUGAUGUUUUUUUUAUCAAUUUUUUUUUUAUCAAAUGGGAUCUGAUGCUAAUACGUGUAAUAUACUUAUGAAUGAUAUCUUAGUAAAGUUGUACCUUUGUAAGGAUAUAGAGUGGCUUCUCUCA